rnacentral:vault_RNA from 1 species
GCGUCAGGUUAGCUGAGUGGUUACUACACAGUCUGACUUAAAUUCCCUCCCCCUUCCUCAGGUUUCAACCUGGGGAGUUCAAACCACUGGCGCUGUCUGGCGUUUUA